rnacentral:rRNA from 1 species
CGUGCCCUGUUGUGGGGGAUAACUAGUCGAUAGAUUAGCUAAUACCGCAUACGACCUGAGGGUGAAAGUGGGGGACCGCAAGGCCUCAUGCUAUAGGAGCGGCCGAUGUCUGAUUAGCUAGUUGGUGAGGUAAAGGCUCACCAAGGCGACGAUCAGUAGCUGGUCUGAGAGGACGAUCAGCCACACUGGGACUGAGACACGGCCCAGACUCCUACGGGAGGCAGCAGUGGGGAAUUUUGGACAAUGGGCGAAAGCCUGAUCCAGCAAUGCCGCGUGUGUGAACAAGGCCUUCGGGUUGUAAAGCACUUUUGUCCAGAAAGAAAUGGCUCUGGUUAAUACCUGGGGUCGAUGACGGUACCGGAAGAAUAAGGACCGGCUAACUACGUGCCAGCAGCCGCGGUAAUACGUAGGGUCCAAGCGUUAAUCGGAAUUACUGGGCGUAAAGCGUGCGCAGGCGGUUGUGCAAGACCGAUGUGAAAUCCCCGAGCUUAACUUGGGAAUUGCAUUGGUGACUGCACAGCUAGAGUGUGUCAGAGGGGGGUAGAAUUCCACGUGUAGCAGUGAAAUGCGUAGAGAUGUGGAGGAAUACCGAUGGCGAACGCAGCCCCCUGGGAUAACACUGACGCUCAUGCACGAAAGCGUGGGGAGCAAACAGGAUUACAUACCCUGGUAGUCCACGCCCUAAACGAUGUCAACU